AGAGUUUGAUCCUGGCUCAGGACGAACGCUGGCGGCGUGCCUAAUACAUGCAAGUCGAACGAACCGCAACUUGAACUUGUUCUCGUUAAGGUUAGUGGCGCACGGGUGAGUAACACUGGGGAACCUGCCCUUUAGUGGGGGAUAACAGUCGGAAACGACUGCUAAUACCGCAUAGACAAUUUAACCGCCUGGUUAAGUUGGGAAAGGUGCUACGGCAUCAUUAAAGGAUGGCCCCGCGGUGCAUUAGCUAGUUGGUAAGGUAACGGCUUACCAAGGCGAUGAUGCAUAGCCGACCUGAGAGGGUGAUCGGCCACAUUGGGACUGAGACACGGCCCAAACUCCUACGGGAGGCAGCAGUAGGGAAUCUUCCGCAAUGGACGCAAGUCUGACGGAGCAACGCCGCGUGUGUGAAGAAGGUUUUCGGAUCGUAAAGCACUGUUGUUAGAGAAGAACGGCUACUAGAGGAAAUGUUAGUAGAUUGACGGUAUCUAACCAGAAAGCCACGGCUAACUACGUG
rnacentral:rRNA from 1 species